GACGAACGCUGGCGGCGUGCUUAACACAUGCAAGUCGAACGAAGCUUGAUUACGGAUUCUUCGGAUGAAGUAUGAUAUGACUGAGUGGCGGACGGGUGAGUAACGCGUGAGUAACCUGCCCUUCAGAGGGGGAUAGCGUUUGGAAACGAACGGUAAUACCGCAUAAUGUAUUUUGACCGCAUGAUCGAAAUACCAAAUAUUUAUCGCUGAAGGAUGGACUCGCGUCUGAUUAGGUAGUUGGUGGGGUAACGGCCUACCAAGCCGACGAUCAGUAGCCGGACUGAGAGGUUGAUCGGCCACAUUGGGACUGAGACACGGGCCCAGACUCCUACGGGAGGCAGCAAGUGGGGAAUAUUGCACAAUGGGCGCAAGCCUGAUGCAGCAACGCCGCGUGAAGGAAGACGGUUUUCGGAUUGUAAACUUCUGUUCUUAGUGAAGAAUAAUGACGGUAGCUAAGGAGCAAGCCACGGCUAACUACGUGCCAGCAGCCGCGGUAAUACGUAGGUGGCAAGCGUUGUCCGGAAUUACUGGGUGUAAAGGGAGCGCAGGCGGGUGAUCAAGUCAGCUGUGAAAACUACGGGCUUAACCCGUAGACUGCAGUUGAAACUGUUCAUCUUGAGUGAAGUAGAGGUUGGCGGAAUUCCGAGUGUAGCGGUGAAAUGCGUAGAUAUUCGGAGGAACACCGGUGGCGAAGGCGGCCAACUGGGCUUUAACUGACGCUGAGGCUCGAAAGUGUGGGGAGCAAACAGGAUUAGAAUACCCCUGGUAGUCCACACUGUAAACGAUGAUUGCUAGGUGUGGGGGGUCUGACCCCUUCCGUGCCGGAGCUAACGCAAUAAGCAAUCCACCUGGGGAGUACGACCGCAAGGUUGAAACUCAAAGGAAUUGACGGGGACCCGCACAAGCAGUGGAUUAUGUGGUUUAAUUCGAAGCAACGCGAAGAACCUUACCAGCACUUGACAUCCAACUAACGAAAUAGAGAUAUAUUAGGUGCCCUUCGGGGAAAGUUGAGACAGGUGGUGCAUGGUUGUCGUCAGCUCGUGUCGUGAGAUGUUGGGUUGAGUCCCGCAACGAGCGCAACCCUCGCCAUUAGUUGCUACGCAAGAGCACUCUAAUGGGACCGCUACCGACAAGGUGGAGGAAGGUGGGGACGACGUCAAAUCAUCAUGCCCCUUAUGUGCUGGGCUACACACGUAAUACAAUGGCCAUCAACAGAGAGAAGCAAUACCGCGAGGUGGAGCAAAACUUCAAAAAUGGUCUCAGUUCGGACUGCAGGCUGCAACCCGCCUGCACGAAGUUGGAAUUGCUAGUAAUCGUGGAUCAGCAUGCCACGGUGAAUACGUUCCCGGGUCUUGCACA
rnacentral:rRNA from 1 species